rnacentral:rRNA from 1 species
AAAAUUAGAGUGUUCAAAGCAGGCAGAUCCAAUUUUCUGCCACCGAAUACAUUAGCAUGGGAUAAUGGAAUAGGACCCUGUCCUCCUAUUUUCAGUUGGUUAACUUGUACACGAGAGGAACAGGGUAAUGAUUAAUAGGGAUAGUUGGGGGCAUUAAUAUUUAAUUGUCAGAGGUGAAAUUCUUGGAUUUAUGAAAGAUUAACUUCUGCGAAAGCAUCUGCCAAGGAUGUUUUCAUUAAUCAAGAACGAAAGUUAGGGGAUCGAAGACGAUCAGAUACCGUCGUAGUCUUAACCAUAAACGAUGCCGACCAGCGAUUAGGAGACGUUGAAUACAAAACACCACUAUAUAUAAUUCAGUGCAUGGCCUCACGGGUGUGCAUUGUGUGUGUAUAGUUACCGGUGAA